rnacentral:lncRNA from 1 species
AGACAAUCUAACAUCAUAGUACUAUCUUACUACACAAUAAAAACCAAUUAUACCAAGCAUGUUUCAUUAGAUAGACCAUCUAACAUCAUAGUACUAUCUUUCUACACAAUAAAAACCAAUUAUACCAAGCAUGUUUCAUUAGAUAGACCAUCUAACAUCAUAGUACUAUCUUUCUACGCAAUAAAAACCAAUUAUACCAAGCAUUUUUCAUUAGAUACCCCAUCUAACAUCAUAGUACUAUCUUUCUACGCAAUAAAAACCAAUUAUACCAAGCAUGUUUCAUUAGAUAGACCAUCUAACAUCAUAGUACUAUCUUUCUACACAAAAAAAACCAAUUAUACCAAGCAUGUUUCAUUAGAUAGACCAUCUAACAUCAUAGUACUAUCUUUCUACACAAUAAAAACCAAUUAUACCAAGCAUGUUUCAUUAAAUAGACCAUCUAACAUCAUAGUACUAUCUUACUACACAAUAAAAACCAAUUAUACCAAGCAUGUUUCAUUAGAUAGACCAUCUAACAUCAUAGUACUAUCUUUCUACACAAUAAAAA